GGGUUGUGAGGUUAAGUGACUAAGCGUACACGGUGGAUGCCUAGGCAGUCAGAGGCGAUGAAGGGCGUGCUAAUCUGCGAAAAGCGUCGGUAAGGUGAUAUGAACCGUUAUAACCGGCGAUACCCGAAUGGGGAAACCCAGUGUGUUUCGACACACUAUCAUGUCAUGAAUACAUAGUGGCAUGAGGCGAACCGGGGGAACUGAAACAUCUAAGUACCCCGAGGAAAAGAAAUCAACCGAGAUUCCCCCAGUAGCGGCGAGCGAACGGGGAGGAGCCCAGAACCUGAAUCGGCUUGUGUGUUAGUGGAAGCGUCUGGAAAGUCGCGCAGUAAAGGGUGAUAGCCCCGUACACUAAAAUGCACAGGUCGUGAGUUCGAUGAGUAGGGCGGGACACGUGACAUCCUGUCUGAAUAUGGGGGGACCAUCCUCCAAGGCUAAAUACUCCUGACUGACCGAUAGUGAACCAGUACCGUGAGGGAAAGGCGAAAAGAACCCCGGCGAGGGGAGUGAAAUAGAACCUGAAACCGUGUACGUACAAGCAGUGGGAGCACCUUCGUGGUGUGACUGCGUACCUUUUGUAUAAUGGGUCAGCGACUUAUAUUUUGUAGCAAGGUUAACCGUAUAGGGGAGCCGUAGGGAAACCGAGUCUUAACUGGGCGA
rnacentral:rRNA from 1 species